GACGAACGCUGGCGGCGUGCCUAAUACAUGCAAGUCGAGCGAAUUGAUGAGAAGCUUGCUUCUCUGAUGUUAGCGGCGGACGGGUGAGUAACACGUGGGCAACCUGCCCUAUAGUUGGGGAUAACUCCGGGAAACCGGGGCUAAUACCGAAUAAUACAUUUCAUCUCCUGGUGAAAUGUUGAAAGAUGGCUUCUUGCUAUCACUAUAGGAUGGGGCCCGCGGCGCAUUAGCUAGUUGGUGAGGUAAUGGCUCACCAAGGCGACGAUGCGUAGCCGACCUGAGAGGGUGAUCGGCCACACUGGGACUGAGACACGGCCCAGACUCCUACGGGAGGCAG
rnacentral:rRNA from 1 species